GAAGCUCUGCAAAGGGAAAUGUGAAUCCCCUGAGGAAGGGACUUUCACGAAGAUGCCCCUGCAUUUCGUGAUAUGCCUGUGGUGAAGCGAGUUUUGUCCCUGCUGGUAGUCCACGGGUGAGACCUUCGCUUGAAG